rnacentral:misc_RNA from 1 species
UCUUGAUACCAGGAUGCUCCUGACGUACAAAUCGCCUCAAUUUCUCAGCAUGAUCGGUUACACUUUUUAGAUAUAGCACGUGCCUUACGGUUCGAUCCAAGAGGCCAUCAAUGCUACACUGGAUUUACCAAUACAACAUAGCAAAUUUAUUUAGUAAAUUGGAGAGAAUGCACCCCACCAAGGACUAAGUCUCUUGGCCUUCGCCUUUGGUUAUCACCGUGUUUGACCCUUCUUUUGGUGACCGUUGUCUUGUGUCCUUUCCGAGGCUGUGUGCCAUCGGAUUCAUUGUCAUGCUGUUCCGUGCUAAAAAUUGCGUCCAUCAUGCUCCUUAAAGUACUUGAAGAACUAUCAGCAAUCUCGUCCCCAAUAAUACAUGCAGAUUUAAGAUGCCUACAUAGUGUUGAAUCAUCCUUCACCAAGGUACUU